CAGUCGCCGCGGUAAUACAGAGGGUGCGAGCGUUAAUCGGAUUUACUGGGCGUAAAGCGUGCGUAGGCGGCUUCUUAAGUCGGAUGUGAAAUCCCUGAGCUUAACUUAGGAAUUGCAUUCGAUACUGGGAAGCUAGAGUAUGGGAGAGGAUGGUAGAAUUCCAGGUGUAGCGGUGAAAUGCGUAGAGAUCUGGUGGAAUACCGAUGGCGAAGGCAGCCAUCUGGCCUAAUACUGACGCUGAGGUACGAAAGCAUGGGGAGCAAACAGGAUUAGAGACCCCAGUAGUCCCUGUCUCUUAUAC
rnacentral:rRNA from 1 species